rnacentral:rRNA from 1 species
UACAGAGGUCUCAAGCGUUGUUCGGAUUCAUUGGGCGUAAAGGGUGCGUAGGCGGCGCGGUAAGUCGGGUGUGAAAUGCCGGGGCUCAACCCCGGGACUGCGUCCGAUACUUCCGAGCUGGAGGUAGGUAGGGGAGAUCGGAAUUCCUGGUGUAGCGGUGAAAUGCGCAGAUAUCAGGAGGAACACCGGUGGCGAAGGCGGAUCUCUGGGGCUUACCUGACGCUGAGGCGCGAAAGCUAGGGGAGCGAACAGG